rnacentral:rRNA from 1 species
GAAGCAGCUAUUCAUUCAAAGAGUGCGUAAUAGCUCACUAGUCGAGUGACCCUGCGCCGAAAAUGUACCGGGGCUAAAACAGUUUACCGAAGCUGUGGAUGACACAAAAGUGUCAUGGUAGGAGAGCGUUCUAUGUGUGAAGAAGGUGUACCGUGAGGAGCGCUGGAACGCAUAGAAGUGAGAAUGCCGGUAUGAGUAGCGAAAGACAGGUGAGAAUCCUGUCCACCGUAAGACUAAGGUUUCCAGGGGAAGGCUCGUCCGCCCUGGGUUAGUCGGGACCUAAGGAGAGACCGAAAGGUGUAUCCGAUGGCCAACAGGUUGAUAUUCCUGUACUAGAGUAUAUAGUGAUGGAGGGACGCAGUAGGCUAACUAAACCGGACGAUUGGAAGAGUCCGGCUAAGCAGUGAGGUGUAAGAUGAGUCAAAUGCUUAUCUUUAUAACAUUGAGCUGUGAUGGGGAGCGAAUUUUAGUAGCGAAGUUAGUGAUGUCACACUGCCAAGAAAAGCUUCUAGCGUUUAAUGAUACUCUACCCGUACCGCAAACCGACACAGGUAGUCGAGGCGAGUAGCCUCAGGUGAUCGAGAGAACUCUCGUUAAGGAACUCGGCAAAAUGACCCCGUAACUUCGGGAGAAGGGGUGCUGACUUAGGUCAGCCGCAGUGAAUAGGCCCAAGCAACUGUUUAUCAAAAACACAGCUCUCUGCUAAAUCGUAAGAUGAUGUAUAGGGGGUGACGCCUGCCCGGUGCUGGAAGGUUAAGAGGAGGGUUUAGCGCAAG